CCUACGGGUGGCAGCAGUGGGGAAUAUUGCGCAAUGGGCGAAAGCCUGACGCAGCGACGCCGCGUGAGGGAUGAAGGUCUUCGGAUCGUAAACCUCUGUCAGCAGGGAAGAACGGUCACUGUGCUAAUCAGCAGUGAAUUGACGGUACCUGCAAAGGAAGCACCGGCUAACUCCGUGCCAGCAGCCGCGGUAAACCGGAGGGUGCGUGCGUUAAUCGGAAUUUCUGGGCGUAAAGCGCUCGUAGGCGGUAUGUCAAGUCAAGGGUGAAAUCCCCGCGCUCAACGUGGGAACUGCCUGUGAAACUGGCAACCUGGAGUGUGUGAGAGGAUAGUGGAAUUGCAGGUGUAGGAGUGAAAUCCGUAGAUAUCUGGAGGAACAUCAGUGGCGAAGGCGACUAUCUGGCACAUAACUGACGCUGAGGAGCGAAAGCGUGGGUAGCGAACAGGAUUAGAUACCCGGGUAGUC
rnacentral:rRNA from 1 species